GAAAAAAAAAGUUGGGAUUCCAACAUUUUUCAAUUUUAUUUUGAAAAAAGAAACAAUGUAAUUGGCAGCCCACGACUAUCUGUCAGUGAUAGUUCCAAAAAAGGAAAAAUUAUUUCACAAUCAUGGACUCGGAAGGAAGUGCGGCAUCGUUGCUGUAAAGAUCGGGCCCGUAUGGCGAUAUAAACCAUGUCGAAGAUGUGUUCCCCGAACAUCACAUCCGGCUUGUGGCCUGAGACUUUGUACCAACUACCAGUCUCGCUUGGAGUGCAAAUCUGCCCGCUCACACUGUCCUCAAAGCAUUUAUUUAUAACCCCGUCCUUCACACGCUGAAUCGCUUAAGCUGUCUGCAAAGCCAUACCAAAGGUAGUGAAAU